UGGAUCCUGCAGAUUCAACUUUAACCCAGAUAUCACAAUCCGUUUACUAGGCUGACCAUGGCCUUCUCACCUACAGGGUGCGCAUCAAACAAAUGAAGCCAAAGGAUGUGAAAAACAAGGCCAGUGACGGACAGUGUCCAUGUACUUUUGGAUACGCACAGAAAUGAGAAGACUGUGUUGAAGCUCUAUGAGAUCUGCAAGGAUGGAAGAGCACGUAACCAGCAUGGAGAAUGUCUGGACCACAAGUAGUGGAAACAGUAUUGCUCUCAGCAGAAGACUGUCCAGGCCUGAGCCAGACAGGGUCGAGUGUGUCAGCCGCUGCCGGAGCCUCCUGAGUCCAGUUCUGCAGUUCUGAGUCUAAUCAACUGGUCAGGCCUAUAUAGCCCAUCCACAUCAUGAUUAAGUGUUAGUAAGGAGGCCCAAAACAUGGUGAAACUACCUCAUACUGUACUAGUGUUUGGUCUUGAGGUAACACAUUACAAGCCAUGUGCCUAAUGGCCGUUUUCCCCCAGAUAGUAAAAUUGGAUGUCAUUUGUUUCAUAACGUCUUGAUAAAUAAAUUAAGUCUGACAUGACUGUGUACAGAUCAACAGCAAGCAAAAACUUGAAUUUUUUUUUUUAUUCCUUCUUUCAAGUGUCAUAAUCCAUAGGACGAUUAACUGCAAAAAAGAAAGGAAAUACAGUAUAACUGGAUAACUUUACAACAAAGUACACAAUGUGAGGGUGUAAUAGAGCCCUGUUUACACACAAGAGAAAGCUUAGCACAAACAGCGGUAGGAUAACACUUUGACCUAUUUGUCAUUAAACUACCCUUGUGUUUUCUUAAAAGGUGAGCAUGUCUGGAAGCAUGCUGGAGACAGGCAUCAAACACUGGGAUUUCCGUGGGAGCUUGCAAUGCAACGUUCAUCUCAACCUCUCCAGGCCUGUGUACACAGUGCAAAA